rnacentral:tRNA from 1 species
GGGGCUGUGGUCUAGCUUGGUAUGAUACCUGGUUCGGGACCAGGUGGUCGAGAGUUCGAAUCUCUCCGGCCCCA